rnacentral:rRNA from 1 species
AUUGAACGCUGGCGGCAUGCCUUACACAUGCAAGUCGAACGGUAACGCGGGGCAACCUGGCGACGAGUGGCGAACGGGUGAGUAAUGCAUCGGAACGUGCCUGGUAGUGGGGGAUAACUGCUCGAAAGAGCAGCUAAUACCGCAUACGACCUGAGGGAGAAAGGGGGGGAUCGCAAGGCCUCUCGCUAUCAGAGCGGCCGAUGUCGGAUUAGCUAGUUGGUGGGGUAAAGGCCCUCCAAGGCAACGAUCCGGAGCUGGUCUGAGAGGACGACCAGCCACACUGGGACUGAGACACGGCAUAGACUCCUACGGGAGGCAGCGGUGGGGAAUUUUGGACAAUGGACGCAAGUCUGAUCCAGCCAUGCCGAGUGCGGGAAGAAGGCCUUCGGGUUGUAAACCGCUUUUGUCAGGGAAGAAAUCUUCUGGGCUAAUACCCUGGGAGGAUGACGGUACCUGAAGAAUAAGCACCGGCUAACUACGUGCCAGCCGCCGCCGUAACAC